rnacentral:rRNA from 1 species
UACCAGCACCCCGAGUGGUCGGGACGUUUUAUUGGGCCUAAAGCAUCCGUAGCCGGUUCUACAAGUCUUCCGUUAAAUCCAGCUGCUUAACAGAUGGGCUGCGGAAGAUACUAUGGAGCUAGGAGGCGGGAGAGGCAAGCGGUACUCGAUGGGUAGGGGUAAAAUCCGUUGAUCCAUUGAAGACCACCAGUGGCGAAGGCGGCUUGCCCAGAA